UGCGUAGGUGGCAAGCGUUGUUCGGAAUUAUUGGGCGUAAAGGGCGCGUAGGCGGUUUGUUAAGUCGGUCGUGAAAGCCCGGGGCUCAACCCCGGAGGGUCGACCGAUACUGGCAGACUAGAGUACAGAAGAGGUAACUGGAAUUCCCGGUGUAGCGGUGAAAUGCGUAGAUAUCAGGAGGAACACCAAUUGCGAAGGCAGCUCGCUGGGACGUCACUGACGCUGAGACGCGAAAGCGUGGGGAGCAAACAGG
rnacentral:rRNA from 1 species